rnacentral:rRNA from 1 species
UUUAACGAGAGUUUGAUCCUGGCUCAGAAUCAACGCUGGCGGCGUGCCUCAGACAUGCAAGUCGAACGAUUAAAGCUCUCUUCGGAGAGUGUAUAGAGUGGCGCACGGGUGAGUAACACGUAAGUAAUCUACCUCGGGGUGGGGAAUAACAUCGGGAAACCGAUGCUAAUACCGCAUAAUGCAGCGGCUUCUUAUGAAGACAGUUGUUAAAGCAUUUAUGUGCCUGGAGAGGAGCUUGCGGCAGAUUAGCUAGUUGGUAAGGUAAUGGCUUACCAAGGCAACGAUCUGUAGCCGACCUGAGAGGGUGGUCGGUCACACUGACACUGAAUAACGGGUCAGACUCCUACGGGAGGCA